GAAACUAAUCAGAUUAUCAUUCCAAGUGGACUGACCAUUAUUCCAUAAAUCAGAAACUAAAUUAGGAAGCUGUCUGUUGACAUGAGGAUGUGACAAAUGAUUAUGAAUGUCUUCCCAAUUAUCACACCAAGGAUCAGUCCAAAUAUUGGAAUUACCUUUAUGGAUCUGCAACACACUUUGCUCAUGAAGAUGACGUUUUACCUGCAUAAUGGAAGACCAAAAAGCAGAUCUAGUGCCAAUGCAAUUAGUUCUCCAGAAACUUGUAUUAGGAAAAUAUUUUGAUUUUAGGACAGAAGACAUGAAAGGAUCCCUGUUAGUAACGAUUAACCAGGUAGAGUGAAGCACCAAGCUCUUAUUAACAUUAUCAAUAUUCCUUAUACCAA
rnacentral:lncRNA from 1 species